ensembl:lncRNA
GUUCGGAGGCCGCCGCAUCUGUGCAGGACUUAUCGCAGAGGCUUGCCAAGACGCAGAACCCCAGGGAGCCUCUUAAGUUCUACAAAGCCCACCUGGGGAGCCAGCACACAUCGAUCACCCCAAACCUCUUAAAGGAUCUUAGCAGAGGCUGCACAGCAGAAGUGCCUCUGCCCCACGCACCGUGGCCUGGUCCUUGGCUGGUCUGUCUUGCUCAGCGCUGGCUGCUAGUCACAUCCUUCAUCCCUUUCUUUGCAAACAUCGAAGUUCAGAGAUCAGCUGCUCCUCGGUGACAGGCAAAGGGGGCUUCAUCUUUCUAGUUCAUUUUAGAAACACCCACAUGAACCAGGGGAGGAGGAAGGAGGGCAUCCCCUUAUCUUCCUCUCUCAGCACAGACAGGCAGAGAACGCCUCCCUGCUCACACCUGUGCAGCCUGGGAAGCCAGCCAGCCCUUCCCCACCCUCGCUUCCUGCUCAGGGCCUCUCCUCCCUCCUCCCUUGGUUCCUGGGAGACUAACAGCCCUGUUCAGAUCUCCUUGGGCCAGUGGCUUCUUUCCCUGAGAGCCUUUCUCUCCAGACCUGGUAUCAUGGCUUAAUGAUGUUCCUCCAAUAACGGGAAGCUGUUAUCCACAGGAGGGCUGCUCUAAUAGGAGAUACCUGGUCAUCACACUUAACAAGAGGGACAGGAAUGCGACACAGAGAGAAGCCAGAGAAUGACUCCAGAAACAUGAUAUGGGCAAGUACAUCAUUCACUCUCGUAUUUGUUUAUCCAGCAAAAAAUUUUUGAGCAUCCAUUGUGGGCAGAGCUCUUCUCCUGGCACAGGAUAACAUAAUGUUGACUGUAGAUACACAUUCCAUAGUCACAGAUACACACUGCAUAGUCAUUCAAGCUAAGAGAGAUUAUUUAGAAUAAGUUGAUUCAAGAAGAGAUCUGAAAACAACUCCCCCUCCCACCCCUGCCUCCCACCCCAGGAUUAGGCUUUUCAAAGGAGAGAUAAAAAUUGUGUACAUUUUUGCUUUCCUGUAUGAUCUUCACUAGUCCAGAUGGCUAUUGACCACUUGAAUUGUGAUUAAUCUGAAAUGAAAUGUGCCUUAAGCAUAAAAUGCACAUCAGAUCUCAUUAAACUCAGUAUGAAAAAAUGUGAAAUAUCUCAUUAAUACUUUUCCAUAAUGUACUCUUUUGGAUAUAUUUGGUUACAUAGAUAAAAUUAUAAUUACUUUCACCUGUUUCUUUUUAGUUUUUCAUAUGUACAGUUCUGACACAAGCUGGGUGUCCCACACAUUUAAUUCAAUUCUGACACGAUCUGGAUACCAGCAGAUCCCACGGGUCAAAGGCUCAGUGCCACAAGACUGACCCCAAUUCAGAUGCUAACCAGAAGUCCAGGUUGUCACUUGUGCUUUUGACCAACCGUCUGUAGAUUGGAGGUUUCCAUCACCCCCUUUUUAGAGUCAGUUAAUUUGUUACAGUAACUCACAAAACAGAGAAACAUUUUACUUAAUAGAUUACCAGAUUAUUAUAAAAUGUUAUAACCUAGGAAUAGCCAAGCGGAAGAGAUUCAUAGGGCAAAGUAUAUAGAAAUGGUGGGGAGAGUCCCUGUUCUCCCAGAAUCUCUAUAUGUUCACCAACCUGGAUGCUCUCUAAACCCUGUCCUUUUGGGUUUUUGUGGAUGCUUCAUUAUAUGGGAACAAUUGAUUAAAUCAUUGGCCACUGGCCAUAAAUUCCAUCUCCAAGCCCUCUCUCCUCCCCAGAGGUCAGGGGAGUGGGAAGGAAGGUUCCAACCCUCCAAUCACACAGCUGGUUCCCCUGGCAACAAACCACCACAGUUCUUUCCAGAGGUUACCUCAUUAGCAUAAACUCAGGUAUGGUUGAAAGGGGUCUGUUAUGAAAAUCAAGUCACCUUUAUUGCUCUCAUCACUUAGGAAAUUCCAAGGGUUUUAGGAGCUUGGUGUUAGAAAUGAGAGGAAGAUGAGAGGAAAUAGUUCUUAUUAUAAAUCACAAUGCUACAAUGUACUUAUUAAAAAGUGUAAAAUUACUUAUAUAGGUCAGGUUAUUUUUCUGCUGGACAAAAGUGAUCUAGACCAAAGGUCAGUAAAUGUUUUCUUUAAAGGGUCAGCUAAUGAAUAUUGUAGGACAUGUAGGUCACAGGGUCUCUGCUGCAGCUACACAACUCUGCCGUUUUAGUGCAAACACAGCAUCAAUAAUACAUAUAUGGAAGAGUAUGAAAAUGUUACAAUAAAGCUUUAUUUAUAGACACUGAUAUUUGAAGGUCACAAAAUUUUAAUGCAUCCCAAAACAUUAUUAUUUGACUAUUUCUCCCCCAUCAUUUAAAUAAAUAAAAACCAUUUUUAGUUUGCAGAACCUCCAAAAACAGGUGGGAGACUGAAUUUGGGUGUGUACCACUGUUUGUCAAACCAUGGUCUAGAACAUCAUUUGGAAGGACCUGAGAAACAACUGGUUUUGAAAAAUAUCCUGUCUAAUAAAACACCUGGUAGGCUGAUCCAUUGUUUCCAGUUCUUCCUGACUUCCUGCAUUAGAAUUCCUCAUUCACACCCUUUCCCAUAUGACUUAGCAGAAUCAGUUAGUAGGAUGGAAAGAGUCUAUUUUCUCAUCUCAUUGACCAUGGGCUUGACCAUAAGACUUGUACUGGGUAGUGGGAUAUAGGUAGGAAUGGUGAAUUUCAGGUUGUAGCUUCAGAGGAAUUGUGAGUUUACACCUACAUUCUUGAAAUUUCUGUCAUGGAACCAGCUUCCUCUGGGUAGCUGUUGCUAUUUCAACCUGGUUCCCAGACUAACCACUGUGGAACAGACCAGAGAACAAACUUGAAUUGAGGUACAACCCCAGCCUGAAUUUCAGCUUGAGGUAGAGCCACCUAGUCAAGAUCAGUAUAGAUCAGCAAAUUCACAGUGGACUCACAAGUCUGAGAAAGGUAAAUGUUCCCUCUGUGUGUUACAAAUGUUUUGUAAAUGCUCCUUACACAGCAUUUGCUGACCACUACAAAUUCUAUUUUCUCUUCAUUUCCAUUGAAUCUCACUUUAUAUCUACACAUUCUGUCCUUAACAGCAAAAUCUGGGCAGUUUUCUGCUCAUCAAAAGAGGCACCAUGGCCCCUGCAUUCCGUACUGCACUUGCUUCUAGGAUUUGUCAGUUUAAGCUAUUGUUUAUUUCAUACUGACAGUGGGGGAAAGACAGGCAGUUAAUCUAACUGCAACUGAAUUUAGAAAUUACUCAAAUCUAAUUUUACUUACUUCUUCAUUCCCAAGUUACUUUUUCUGCUUUCUUUCAUUUGUGUGUGUUUUAAAUCAUUUCCCACUGUUUAUUUUUAAUUUCUACUUUAUUUUAAUUAUUUAAUAGGUGGCAUCUGUGCACUGCCUGUCAUUCACUGAGCAGUUUGUGUUCUGCUUAUGGCAUCACAAAAAUAUUUAAGCUGCUGCUUCAAUGGUGUCACCAUCACUCAGACUUUAGACUAUAGGACUCUUCUUUCCCUGUUUGGAAGAAUAGAAUUCUCGGAGGUGACCAGGGUUCUUUGAAAAGCUAGCACCCAAACUAUACCUGAUCCCAGGGAAUGGAAAGUAAGGAGGUUUCCCCUCUUUCUCUGCUGCUUUUGAGAAAAUACAUAUUUUCUUAAAUGUCACCAGGUAAUAUGACACAGGGGCUUUCCAGGCGGUUCAGUGGUAAAGAAUCCACCUGCCAGUGCAGAAGACAUAGGAGACGUGGGCUUGACCCCUGGGUCAGGAAGAUCCCCGGAGGAGGGAAUGGUAACCCACUCCAGUGUUCUUGCCUGGGUAAUCCCAUGGAGAGAGGAACCUUGUGGGCUAUAGUCCAUGAGGUCAUAAAGGGUCAGACAUGACUGAGCACCUGAGCACACUGAGCAUGCAACCUGACCUGGAUGACAUUGCAUUAAGAUUUCAGUGGCCAUUUGUACCCCAGUGAGAACCAGUGUGUGAAGUUAUUAGUUGGUCCCUAGCACUAUCGAAACUGAACGUGGCCAUGGAUGUGGGCAGAUUGAGCAUCUGGGGAAGGAGUAUGAUGCCUGGGAAACUGGUAUGGGCAUAUUUAGUUGGGUUUGCAAAGGAAAGGAAAACACCUAAGGGGCAUGUAGGGAGCUGUUUGGUGCUCUGGAAGGUUCCCUGGAGUCAAACAGUGGGGUUUUCAGACAGACCAGAACAGUCUGCCCUAGAACAGAUUGCAGCUGGGCUGGGAAGACGACACACGGGAAGCAGCAGAAACAAGAUAGACUCCUGCCUGGGUUCCCAGCCUCCCCUCUGGGCCCUGAACCAUCUGUUCUGUUCUCCAAGAGCAGCCAGUAAGAACACUGUAAGGCUUACAUCAGACUGUGACUUUCCUCAAAACUUUCCCACAGCUUCCUAUUGAAUCAAGAGUGGUGCUGACAUGCUUACCACCCCUGAUGGAGCACUGUCUAGUCCUUGGCGUCGUUCCUCCCCGCCUCCUCCUUGCUGAUGGUCCCAGCAGCACCGGCCUUCGUUCUUCAUCUAACCUCAGUGUUGGCUCUGUGUGUUCCCCCACCCCCAUGGAAACUUCUUUCAGACAUUAACACAGCUCAUUUUUUCACUUUAUUUAAGUCUCUGCCCAAAUGUCACCUCCUCAGACUUUCUUUUAUCACCUGAAAACACAUCCUCAGUCAUCAUCUACCCCUUGAUACCGCUUUAUUUUUCUCCAUAGCACUUAUCACUACAUUAUCUUAUACAUAUAGUUAUGAUUUCUUGUUAGUUUAUCUCCCUCAUUAGAACAUAGACUCUGAAAGGGUGGUAACUUCGCUUGUUUCGUUUUCUGCUGUACACUCAGUUUUAAGAACAGUGCCUGGUGUAUUGUUAUUUAGUUGCGAAGUUGUGUCCAAGAAUACUGGAGUGGGUUGCCAUUUCCUUCUCCAGGGGAUCUUCCCAAAUGUGUCUCCUGCAUUGCAGGCGGAUUCUUUACGACUGAGCCACCAGGAAGACCUCUGAUGUAUUAUAGACAUUAUCAAAUAGAGUGUUGAGUGAAUGAAUGAAUAGCCUCCAUGUCUGAUUAUAAGGCUACAUGCAAUGUGUUGGGGGUACUUAGCUCGCUGAAAUUUCAUCCAGUCGGUUGAGCAUUUGUACUAAGUACGUGCUAGAAAGGUAGAGAGAUAGAUAGAUAGUUGAUAGAAUCAGUGUACUGGUACCCUGUACUGAUAAUGGACAGAGUUAGUGUGAGAGAAAGAAUGAAAGAGUCCAUCUUAAUAAUUUCUUUCCAUUAUCACGCAAGGAAAUAGACCAUAACCCACAUGGAUUGAUCUCAGUUUUCAGAGAUGUUGCCACCGUGAGCUAAGGAGAGGAAAUGUAUUCCCUGCCUCUUCAAGAUUUCAAGUAGGACCAGUAUGGGGGUCUUGUUAGAGUUUAUUGGAAAUAUUAUUGUUUUUUAGUCAGAGUUAGAUGAACCCUGAUGAACCUGCAGGUCCCUCUGCAGUUCUCAGCCGUAUCUAGUCCCUCAUUUUCAUCUGAAAGCAGCACAGUUUGAACUCACGUUGCUCCUUGUUCUUUUUUUUUUUUUUUUUAAUACUCUUGUAUUAUUUAUGCCAAUACACACAGGGUCUCCAAACAGCGAAAUCAGAUAUUGGCUUACCGAUAGGGCUGGUGGUGGUGGUGGUUCAGUCACUAAGUCGGGUCCAAUUUUUGCGACCCCAUGGACUGUAGUCCGCCAGGCUCCUCUGUCCAUGGGAUUUUCCAGGCAAGAAUACUGGAGUGGAUUGCCAUUUCCUUCUCCAGGGGAUCUUCUGGACUCUGAACUGGUGGUAAAUGCUUCUUGGCUGGGUUGGACUUGAUUCUUUUUUAGAAUUAUUAUUUAUCUAUUUUGGGCUGUGCUGGGUCUGUCCUGCAGCACACAGGCUCUUCAUUGUGGCAUACAGGCUUUCUCUAGUUGCAACAAGUGGGGGUUACUCUCUAGUUGUGAUUUGUGGGCUUUUCAUUGCAGUGGCUUCUGUUGCUGCAGAGCUGGGCUCUAGAGUGUGGGCUCAGUAGUUGUGGCUUAGUUGCCCUGUAGCAUGUGGGAUCUUAGUUCCUAGACCAGGGUUGGAACCUGUGUCCCCUGCAUUGGCAGGCAGAUUCGUAACUCCUGGGCUGCCAGGGAAGUCCCUGGACUUUAUUCUUGAAGAAGUGAUUGCUUUUAGCUGGUGUAGUCAGGGAGGGCUUCCUGGAGGGGACAAGACUUAAAUGACAUUGACAAAGAGAUAAACUUGGAAAGAGAGGAAAGGAGUAAAUUUAAGUGUAAUAGCACCAGCCAAAGGACCUGAACCCUGGAAAUGGCAAUAACUCCCUCCUACCUUUCCUGCAAUGAAGGAAAUCCUCUCUUUAAGGUCUCAUGGGAAAUAGAUGGGGAAACAGUGGAAACAGUGUCAGAUUUUAUUUUGGGGGGCUCCAAAAUCACUGCAGAUGGUGAUUGCAGCCAUGAAAUUAAAAGACACUUACUCCUUGGAAGAAAAGUUAUGACCAACCUAGACAGCAUAUUUAAAAGCAGAGACAUUACUUUGCCAACAAAGGCCCGUCUAGUCAAGGCUAUGGUUUUUCCUGUGGUCAUGUAUGGAUAUGAGAGUUGGACUGUGAAGAAAGCUGAGUGCUGAAGAAUUGAUGCAUUUGAACUGUGGUGUUGGAGAAAACUCUUGAGAGUCCCUUGGACUGCAAGGAGAUCAGCUCUGGUAUUUCUUUGGAAGGAAUGAUGCUGAAGCUGAAACUCAAGUACUUUGGCCAGCUCAUGCGAAGAAUUGACUCAUUGGAAAAGACUCUGAUGUUGGGAGGGAUUGGGGGCAGGAGGAGAAGGGGACGACAGAGGAUGAGAUGGCUGGAUGGCAUCACGGCUCGAUGGAUGUGAGUCUGAGUGAACUCCGGGAGUUGGUGAUGGACAGGGAGGCCUGGCGUGCUGCAAUUCAUGGGGUCGCAAAGAGUCAGACAUGACUGAGCAACUGAACUGAACUGAACUGAACUGAAGGUCUCAUUUUACGUAAGAAGCGGGGAAAUUGACAGCAGCUCCCCUCUACUUGGGCUUCCCUGGUGGCUCAGUGGUAAAGAGGAUACAGGAGACUUGGGUUUGAUCCCUGGGUUGGGAAGAUCCCCUGGAGAAGGAAGUGACAACCCACUCCAGUGUUCUUGCCUGGGAAGUCCCAUGGACAGAGGAGCCUGGUGGGCUACAGUCCGUGGGGGUGCAAAAGAGUUGGUCAUGACUUAGUGACUAAACAACAACAACCCUCUACUUGGCAUUGAGUGUCUUGUGAACUCGCUCGCUUCACAGGGACAGCCACUCAGGUGUCACUUCUCAGAAUACACUUCUAGUAAACACUAAUUCCUGCCCACAUUUCAGUCUUCUGCCAAAACCUUGCAUCCGUCGACCCCUCCCAGCUUCCUGCCCCAAGGAGUAAGAAGGGAGAGAAGGACCUGAAAUUGACAAAUUGUCAUAAAUUUGAAUCAUAGCAGAGCUUAUUUAGCUAUGUAACCAAUGUAGGCUAAUAACAUGGAGUCUUAGAAAUGUAAUUGGGGUAAAUGGAAGCAAAUUCUGAAACAAAUGUAAAAAAAUAACCUCACCAAACCCCAAAAUUCAAACUUCUUUUUUGUCUACUUAUUGCAUCAGUUAACUAUAUUUUGGGCUGAAGAUGUAUACUUAUUACAUAUCUUCUACAGGGCAGAAAAUGAUCUCCUUUUACAGGAGAUAGUAUUGAUAAGGAGCUUGUGACUCAGAGGACGUAUUUCCUGCAGCUCUUAGAUGAUCAGGGUCAACUUAGUCUAAGACUUUCUAAAAAGCUUGCACUUUAAAUAAUACAUAUAUUUAUAAUUGAACCUUAAUCAGUUAAUCCUAAGACCUAUAAAAAUAGAGAAUGAAUAUUGGCUCUCGCUCCCUGAAAGUUACAGACUUUAGCCUUAUUGAAGGAACUAAAAUUACAAAAUUAUCUCAUCUCAGGAAAAAAAAAAAAUCCUUUAUACCAUUCUUGUCCUUUAAAGGUAAACUGUGUAAUCAGCUGGCUUGUCAGGCUGUUUAACGAGGUAAAGAAUAUUAAAGUAUUUGUCUUGGCUCCUGCAUUUUGUCAGUGUUGUAAAAAUCAGAGAAUAGAGCCUGUCAGUCAUCUGGUUGGCUGUUUGGAUGAAGGAGUUUGAUGGAGGCAACAGCCUGUAACUAAACAAGAUGUCUGCAAAAUUUAGGCUCCCUGGUGACCUGAUGGUAUUUCCCAGAGUGGAUUCAAGAACAGAACCAAAAGUAGCUUCCUCCACCAGGCAGGUGGGUGGACCAAUUAAGUUUCUGGGCUCCUCUGAGAUGUCAUCAGCAGUCUCUUCCUUCUCAAGGCUAUUAAGGGGUGAAAACCCACCCUGGGGUGGCCAUUGUCAUGGGGUCCAAGAGUCAUUGUUUUCUUGCUCCAGUCAUGUUGUCAACUGCUGGGAUUUCUGAGCAAGCUACCUUUGAGGAAUACUCCUCUCCUCUUGUCUUUCCUGACUCUGAAGAAGUUAUGAACUGAAUGAAGAGUAAGAAUGGGCUCCAAACACAUCACUGAGAACAGCUAAGAUAGAGGUCAUCCUUACAGUUCUGUUAGCUGAGUGGACUUGUUACUUCUAAGCCCCAGAAUGGAACAGGCCCACCCACUCAGCUCAGAUAGCACUAAACAGAAUGAAGCAUUUCAUCAGGAAAGGCCUGACCAGUCUAGAUUUUUGGGAGAACUCCUGUCCCUGCUGGACUGGCUGGUUCCCACAAGUAGUGAAGUUAGAGUUCGAGUGAGCAUCUUUACUUAGUUUUCUCCAACUCACCAGUCAAAUAAAUGAUGCUUUGGAAGAUGGGGACAGAUCCGAGUCUGUAAAGAGAGUUCUCUGUCAGUAGGGUUCUCUCCAUUUGAAAGGAAACUUCAGGAAUGGAGAAAAAGAUUUCUCUGUCUUGAAAGUCAGCUCGUGUAGGAAUGCUCGCCUGCCUGGCGGGCCAAGUUCUCGACCAUGUCUGCCCAAGCAUAGUCCAUCACCUCUGCUCCGCAACUUCCCUCAUUCUUAAUGCAGACGCAGUUGUUCCAGCUUUAACCUACUGUGUUGAAGAUUAGUGCCCAUGCACCAAACACAAAUAGAAGGAUGUCUGGCAGUAAGGCGGCUCUUAGACUCCCUCUCUGCUGUGUUUCCCCAGGCUUCUGUCCCGUGGUGGACUGGUAUUACCUCCCAUUUAUGGGAAGGCCAUCCAUGUUCUCCAGGAUCACCUGUAAUUCUCUCUCCCGCACUGUAAUUCACACUGCAUGCCAUCACUGGACUAAUUUUCUGAAAAUACUCCUCUUAUUGAGUCACUCAAGCUCUCUGAGUCUCCAUUUCCUCAUUGGUAAAAUGGAUAUGUUUAUGUUUUCCCUGCUUCUCUACCUUGUGUUGUUGAUUAAAGGCCAAACAAGCCCAUGGAUGGAAACAUGCCCUGUAAACAGAAAGCGUUUCGUGUAUAUGUGGAUGUAUAUACAGCCCAGCUUAGGGACCCUCACUUCUUUCUGUUGUCUAUUAAAUCACGUUUGGUGUUCAAGGUUUUCAUAACUAGGUACGUUCCAAACCUCCCCACCCGACUGAAGGACUGAACUGAAACCUCCCCACCCCUUGUUACCCUGCAAGCCUGGUUCUUUUUUCCUUCCCCACCUAUCCCUCUGGGAAGCUUUCCUGAUGGCUGCUACUCUCCGAAUUCUCCUUCUCAUCUGAGCUCUUACAGAUUCUGUAGUCAACAUUGAUACAUUUCAACCACAGCUGCAUGUGAGAAACACCCAGAGAGCUGUGUGAUGAUACUGUUGAAGUAGAACACCCAGAACAGUUGAAAUAGAAUCUUUGAGGGUGAGACCAGGAUAGCUACUUUCUAAAUGCUCUCUGACGACUCUAAUGUACAGCCCAGGCAGAGAGCCCCUCUUUAUACCGUGUAUUCAGCAUUGAAUUGUUUUGGUCACUUGAGUGCAUCUUUCCCCCUUAAUUGCUCUGUGAAUUUCUUACAUUUCAGAGGCCCUACCCCCUCUCCUACUUCUUUCUGUUGUACCUUAUGUCUCUCCUGGACACUGUGGCUUAUCCUUCCCAGACUUGCUUCAGGACACAUUCAUCUACCCCUCUUCUUGUGCCCCGGAUCUGAACUCAGCAAGCUUUAGUAAAUGCUAUGUGGCAAGCUGUAGAUUGAGUACGGUCUGUGCUCACCAAUGAAGCUGGGGUUUAUUCUGUAUGCUUGAGGUGUGGUGGACUGGUGAGACACAAUUAACAAGAAAUCUAUUUGUGUGGGGGACCUAUCAGUGUCUUGGGAGAGGGUUCAUUUUUUGAGGUGAGGGUGUCAGGAAUCAACAGAAGUGAACAUUUAGAACCAAAUAUCCAGAAUUCACCUGAGGAGGCACUGGGCGGUGAGGGUGGGGGAGAAUUUCUGUGUAAAACACUUCAUUGGUGGACAUAUGUAUUUAGGGCUUGGGUGAUCAAGAUAAAUGUCAUUCAUAUAUAAACUGCCCUGUAGAAAAUAGAUAGCUCGUGAGAAGUUGCUAUAUAACACAGGGAGCUCAGCCUGGUGCUCUGUGAUGACCUCGAGUGGUGGAAUAAUAAUAAUAAAAAUAUAUAUAUUACACAUAUGCUGAUUCAUGUUAUUGUACGGCAGAAACCAACACAACAUUGUAAAGCAAUUAUUCUCCAAUUAAAAAUAGAGUAAGAAAAAGAUAAACGUGAUUUAGCAGUGACACUGGAGUUCACACUUCACUAAAUAGUACACACUGGGCUUCCUUCCUGCGCUGCCCUCAACUGUUCCCUUCUUUGCCAACAGAAAUCUCUGUGGGGGGGGGGGUUGUCAAAUCCUUCUGGGGAUCUGGUGGUUCUAAUUGUGGAAAAGAGCUAGCAGCACUUAGAACUCAAGGAUGGAAUUCCUAUUUGCAACAGACACAAUCCCGAUUACAUUUGUUUCUCAUGCAUGCAUGCAUCUAGACAGACCCUGCAUAUCCAUGACUAUACAUCUACCCACGUAUAUCUCUUCCUGUGUUGGGAUUGUUGUAGCAUUGGUCAUUCUUGCAGCCUGAUCAACUCUGGGAAACUUCCAGGUUAGCUGCAGUUUUAAUGGAAUGCUUCCAUUUCAUUUCUGUUGUUCUUUUAUAUGUUGGAGUUUGAUAGAAAUUCCGAGCAUUAUUUACCAGGUCUCUGGCUUCCCAGGGUCUAUUUAAAUCUCUCCCAUGCUUAGUUGCUCUUCAGAGGACAUAGGGUCUCUAUGGGCUGUAAUGAGUGAGUUUGCUUCAGGACGCAUCUAUUCUUUGGUACCUGUUUCCUAAGAUGCCUUGCUCAGGUUUGUGAAAAAACAAACAGAAAAACAAAACACCAGUCUUGAUAGUAUUGUUCUGUUGGUGCUGAACACUAUUUUCUCACAGAUACAGACUUCAGGCUUCACUGUACUUCAUUUCUAGCCUUACCUUCUACCCUUUAAAUCUCACUUCUAAUCAGUCAUUUGGCAUAAACUCAAUAGUUGGCUUGACUUGCCGGCUCGUUGUUAACAGUGACUAAGGCACCUUAUAAUGUCAGUUGCACCUGUUACAAAUGUCUUAGCUCAGUUCAUACUUGGAUGAUUUUGUAUCUGUGGAGCGCCUGAUGUUUGGGUGCUACAGGUCAGUGCCCAACAGCCAGUGUUGCACUGUGGUGUGUGGUGGGAUUUGAGCACCAUCUGUGUUCACCAGUGGAAUUCAAGGCUGUUGUGCAUGCAUGGUUGAUGGGUAGGGUGGGUCAAACAGAAGCCCUCUCUGGUUUAUUGGCUACUUUUGGAUGGCUGACUGCUUGAAUGCUUUUUAACUUGUCUUCUUCCCUAGAUUUGUUCAUUUCUUUCUGUGGUCUCUGAUUCUGGGAGUCAUGCCCCGUCUUGGGACCUCUGAACACUUAGAGCUCCAAGCCCUUUUCUUCUCAUGGUCAGAAUAGAAAGUGGUAGUGAAGUGAGAACUGGGAGAGGAGUGCCUCUGAGUGUUCCCUGGGCUUUGGUCUGACUGUUGAUCAAGCCGUGGGGUGCCCUUCUGAUGGGAAGUUUCAUGCUAAGUAGCCAUAGAUGUAGGAGAAGGCAAUGGCACCCCACUCCAGUACUCUUGCCUGGAAAAUCCCAUGGACGGAGAAGCCUGGUGGGCUGCAGUCCAUGGGGUCGCUAAGAGUUGGACACGACUGAGCGACUUCACUUUCACUUUUCACUUUCAUGCAUUGGAGAAGGAAAUGGCAACCCACUCCAGUGUUCUUGCCUGGAGAAUCCCAGGGACAGGGGAGCCUGGUGGGCUGCCGUCUAUGGGAUCGCACAGAGUCAGACAUGACUGAAGCAACUUAGCAGCAGCAGCCAUAGAUGUAUCUUCCUCACAAUAGUUCCCUCUGAAACAUCCCACAACACACUGUUUAGAUUACUUCCUGCUCUAGCUAACAGGUUUAGUAAGACAUAUCCCAGAUACAGUCUCCCAGUCUCUUUGUGACUCAUUUUGGACUAAUGUGGCCAUAGUAUCAAGGCUCAUCAUUUGUCCUGGCAUCAUGGAUGUGUGUGUGUGUGUGUGUGUGUGUGUGUGUGUGUGUGGUCUGCAGUAAUUACAGUGUAUGCCACCUGCUAUAUCCCAGAAGCCUGCUGGGUAACAUAAGAAUAUUUUUGCAUUUGUGGGAUGCUUUUCAAAACUGGCAUUUAUUUCAGCAGUUUCUCCUCCCUCUCUCAGGGUCAAUGGGCACAUCUGUGGAGACCACACACCUUGUCUCCUGGUGCUGGAGGCAAUUAGUGAGGACACCUGGUUUCUUCCCAUUCAGUACAGAGAGAGAGAGAGGCACAAGGGUUGUGGGCUCAGCAGAGAGCAUCUGAAGCUCAUGGCGAUGUUUCAGCAAGUGUGCUGGGAGGACAUAUGCUUGGAGUUAUUUUUCCAGGGUUGGGAAUGGAGCCAGAAGUACUUUAUUUCAUUCAUUCCUUUGUUUAACAUGAUUUAAGUUGCUAAUGUGUGUCAUUCCUGGUUUUGAGAGCUGUGGGGGUAGGGAAGACAGAUUUUUAUAAAACAUCCCUGCUCUUAAGUCUGGGAACACACCCACACCUCAGAGUAAAAUAAUGACGUGAGAGAGGGACACACAACCCCAGAUGCUCAUUAGGCUGGGGGCAGGGGGCUGUAAGUCUGAAAAACUGACCCCCAGCUACUGCCAGGAUAGAAUCUCCAGCUCAUGAUAGAGUAUUCAUUCACAAGACUAACUGGUCUACCUGAGAGCUGAAAUCUGCUCAAAAGAAAAGAGCUGCUCCUGGCUUAUACUGAAUGGAAUGGAGAAAAUGGGGGCCCAUUUGUUUUGCAUCAGUGUUACAAGAUCCAGACAUGCUUUGUCAAAUGCCUUUUGAAUGUUUUCCUAUAGUUUCUGAGGGUCUGGCUCCAAAAGAGAUGCAUUUGCUGCAAAUAAACAUUUUUUUUUUUUCAGAAAUAAAAGCAAUAGAUCUGUGUACUCUGUGUCCAAUGACUCCACCUUUGGAGGGAUUUGAAAGAGGCCCCAGCUCUACCCAGAUUGCACCUGGCGGGGAUACUAACAGGUGGGGAGGUGUCAGGAAGGAGAGACUUACUCAGAGGACUGAAUUGAAAUCUAUUAUUGAUUCGUGAGGGCUUCCCUGGUGGCUCAGCCAUGAAGAAUCCGCCUGCAGUGCAGGAGCCACAGGAGAUGUGUGUUCGAUCACUGGGUUGGGGAGAUCCCCUGGAGGAGGAGAUGGCCACCCACUCUAGUAUUCUUGCUUGGAGAAUCCUAUGGACAGGGGAACCUGGUGGGCUACAAGUCCAUAGGGUCACAAACCUCCAGUUGGACACAACUGAAGUGACUCAGCACUCAGCGCCCAUUGAUUCAAAAAGACAUGUUUGUCUGGUGUGAGAGGCAAUGGUCUCUCACUGAACCUCAGCUCAGGUUGAGUCACACCAGGUGAUCAGGAAAAAGUAACUUCAAUUUGGGGCCUUUUCCACUGGCCCUCAUGCUCCAUCAGAGGGAGGAGGAUAUUUGAAAAAUAGGAAAGAAAAGAGACCAAUUGUAUGGACUGUGGCUUUGAUGGAUCCAAGUGUCAUAGAAGAGGAAGCGAAGAAUCUCCCCUUCCCCAACUGGAGGUGGAUCUCGAAGGGGUACCUGGUUUGUGAUCUUUUAUUCAUGCUCAUAAUCUGUUUGGCUCUAUCUUUGGGAAAUUACUUCUAUUCAGUACACUUAAUUGCUUAAAUUGCUGUGGGUUUUCUGCAUUUUAAAAAUCUGGGAAGAAAUAUGUGGAAGGAUGACAGUAAAAUAUGUAUCAGGUGAAAAUAAUUUUCACACAUCCCCAAACCCAGGUUCAUCCUUGUAAAUACUGAAUCUAGUGGCCCAGGAAAUAGCUGAGAGGCUGUUAAUUUUUUGCUUGCCCACGAACAGAAAAUAAAAGAAAUAAUCACAGUGAUGAAUUUUUGAACACCUACAAUACAUCAGGCACUCAGGAUUUGACAUCAAAUUCAGAAGACAAAGACGAACAAAUCUGUGUUUCUGUUCCUGUCGACUCUGAGUCCAAGGGCCUAAUCUCUGUGACCACUUACAGUGCUCAUUGAAGCCCAUCCAGCUAAGUUAGAAGAAAGUUCCAGAAAGAUCUCCCCUCACCACCCCCCUUCCUGCCUUGAGGAGAAUCCUGUAAUACCUUUAAUUUUUUAUUUAUGGCUGAAACAGAGAGGUUCUGAGGACCUCAUUCCAGCAAGCCAGCAAAAUUGGCACUGACCCUCAAACCUGAGAAUGUUGGAGCUGCCUAAUAGCAGAGAAGUGACUGCAACAGCUUCCAAGGAGGCCUUUGAAUCUUGGCUCUGCUCCCUACUUGGGGCACUCGGCUGUUUCUAACUGUGCAUCCAAGGGCAUGUUCCCUUUUUUAUUUACACUUGGCUUUCCUUGAUCCUGCUGACCUCUUUGCAGACAACAUCUGUAUUGCUUGUUACAACAAAUCAGAACAGUGACCUGCUCAGUCAUUCACAAAGUUUUAUCAGUUGCCUGUGGUAGAUGCAUCACUGCAGAAGGGGCUUAAAGCAAAUGCUCUGAGCUCAGAUGUCCAGCCUCCCUUAGCCUUGGCAUCACCUGGAACAGGGGGUCCAAAAACCUGUAGACCACAUACUCAUAAUUCUGUUCCCACCUAGUUGGUUGUUAAUGAAGCCCCCUUGACCUUUGGAGAAGUUCUGCCUCUGAGGGGCAUUUGGAAAUGAAUGAAGGGCCCCUGUUUGAUCCAGUGACGUGGUCAAAAGGAGGAGCAUGGAUCCUGUACCUGAGUCAUUGUUCUAUGUGUCCCAUUGUCCCAUGUCCUAAGUGAAUUGUAAAUAUUUCAAUGAAUGUUGAUGUAGAUGAAAAACCUUUUGAUAAUUUGUUGUGCCUAGAUCUUAGCUGUUCUCCAUAUGACCCAAUGUGCUGUGCAUAACUCUGAUCUGUACUGACUUUCCCAGGGAUUCUCUAUAUCUCCUAUGUAAAAUUGAGAAAAGGUUGCACUUUAUGAUGUUCAAAAAUUGACCAGGAACUAUUCACAUCCUUCCCAUCAUGGGAAAAUCAUUAUCACCAAUGGCAACGCCUCUCAUGGUCUUAGAAUUGCCCUAACACACCUGUAAGCAAUCUGUGCCCCAGCUCUCUUAUUCCCAGUGAGUCUAUGUAAAGACGCAAGCAUCUGGCCAUUUCACUGUCUUCUAGUUAGUCAUCCUCUUGAGCAUUUACAGAUUGAAAGAAGUGCUAUUUUGUACAUUCUUCCCUGUGUAUUUUUCCACGACAUUCUAGUUAGUGCGUUGUAUGAGCGUUUGCCUUUGCAUGUUUUUGGAGAAGGAAAUGACAACCCAGUUUCUUGCCUGGAAAAUUGCAAGGACAGAGGAGUCUAAUGGGCUACAGUCCAUGGGUGGCAAAGACAGACUCGACUGAGCAACUGAGCACUUUGCAUGGUUUAAAUUGCUGCUGCUUUUUUUCCCCUAAGAAAGCAAUUCUAUUGUAAAAUGAAGUCAACGUGUACUUUGUUUUGCUCAGAACCUUUACCAGGAAUUGCUCACCAUUUUGAAAAACAAACUCACUGAUAAGAACAGCGCUCAGAGAAUAUGUCAUAAAUAAAAACACUUGAAUCAGCCUGUAUUUUUAGGUGUCACCUUCAUGAUGAUGAUUGUUUCAGAUCUGGGUAUGAGCAUCUCAUGUCUUUAUGUCUUCCAGUGCAGGCAUGAUCCCUUACAUAUUGAGUUAUGUAUUUUAUUGUGGAUUAUUUACUUUAACCUCUCUGUUUACUUACAGUUCAGUUCAGUUCAGUUCAGUCGCUCAGUCGUGUCUGACUCUUUGCAACCCCAUGAAUUGCAGCACACCACGCCUCCCUGUCCAUCACCAACUCCCGGAGUUUACUCAGACUCAUGUCCAUCAAGUCGGUGAUGCCAUCCAGACAUCUCAUCCUCUGUCAUCCACUUUUCCUCCUCCCCCCAAUCCCUCCCAACAUCAGAGUAUUUUCCAAUGAGUCAACUCUUCGCAUAAGGUGGCCAAAGUACUGGAGGUUCAGCUUUAGCAUCAUUCCUUCCAAAAGAACACCCAGGGCUGAUCUCCUUUAGAAUGGACUGGUUGGAUCUCCUUGCAGUCCAAGUGACUCUCAAGAGUCCUACUUAUGGUUAGGAGUAUAUAUUUCUCUUGUUAAAAAAAAAAUGAUGCUAUCUUUUUGAAGGUAGAUUUAAAAAUUCUUCUUAUUAGCUUUAAUGCAGUUUCACUGUGAUAUGUCUAGGUACAGACUUAUUGGGUUGGCCAUAAAGUUCAUUCUUUGGGAUUAGAAUGAAAACUGACCUUUUCCAGUCCUGUGGCCACUGCUGAGUUUUCCAGAUUUGCUAGUGUAUUGAGUGCAGCACUUUAACAGCAUCAUCUUUUAGGAUUUGAAAUAGCUCAGCUAGAAUUCCAUGGCCUCCACUAGAGAAACUACUGAACAAUUGCACUCGUUUCACAUGAUAGCAAAGUAAUGCUCCAAAUUCUCCAAGCAAGGGUUCAACAGUACAUGAACCAAGAACUUCCAGAUGUUAAAGCUGGAUUUAGAAAAGGCAGAGGAACAAGAGACCAUAUUGCCAACAUCCACUGGAUCAUAGAAAAAGCAAGAGAAUUCCAGAAAUACAUCAUCUUCUGCUACACUGACUAUGCUAAAGCCUUUGACAUGUGGAUCACAACAAACUGGAAAAUUCUUAAAGUGAUAGGAAUACCAGACCACCUCACCUGCCUCCUGAGAAUCCUGUAUGCAGGUCAAGAAACAACAGUUCAAACCAGACAUGGAACAAUAGACUGGUUCCAAAUUGGGAAAGGAGUACGUCAAGGCUGUGUAUUAUCACCCUGCUUAUUUAACUUAUAUGCAGAGUACAUCAUGCAAAAUGCUAGGCUCGAUGAAGCACAAACUGGAAGCAAGAUUGAGGGGAGAAAUAUCAAUAACCUCAGAUAUGCAGAUGGCAGAAAGUGAAGAGGAACUAAAGAGCCCCUUGAUGAAGGUGAAAGAGGAGAGUGAAAAAGCUGGCUUAAAACUCAACAUUCAGAAAACUAAGAUCAUGGCAUUUGGGCCCAUCACUUCAGGGCAAAUAGAUGGGGAAACAAUGGUAACAGUGACAGACUUUAUUCUCUUAUGCUCCAAAAUCACUGCAGAUAGUGACUGCAGCCCUGAAAUUAAAAGACACUUGCUCCUUGAAGGGAGAAGGAAAUGGCAACACCCACUCCAGUAUUCUUGCUUGGAGAAUCCCAGGGACAGAGGAGCCUGGUGGGCUGCCGUCUGUGGGGUUGCACAGAGUCGGACACAACUGAUGUGACUUAGCAGCAGCAGCAGCAACUCCUUGGAAGAAAUGCUAUGACCAACCUAGACAGCAUAUUAAAAAACAGAGACAUUACUUUGCCAACAAAGCUCCAUAUAGUCAAAGCCAUGGUUUUUCCAGUUGUCAUGUAUGAAUGUGAGAGUUUGAGCAAAAAGGAGGCUGAGCACCGAAGAAUUGCUGCUUGUACGUGAGUUUGAACAGGCUCCAAGAGAUGGUGAAGGACGGGGAGGCCUGACAUGCUAUAGUCUGUGGGGUCUCAAAGAGUUGGACACAGCUGGGGGACUGAACAACAACAAAUAAAUUUCAUUUGGGUUUUUCCAUAGAGGUGUUAUGAAGAAACCCAAAUGAGCAUUUUGGCUAACCCAAUAUUUUUAUUUUUCCCCUCCUGAUUAAGUGGAGGGCAGGGAAACUUUAUUCUCAAGAUUUCUGUCUUUCUCUAAUUCUGGAAAAUUCUCAGCUUUCAAAUAUUGUUGCUGAGCCAUUCCCUCCAUCUUUUCUUCUGGAAGAAUCUUUUAACCCAUGUGUGUGCCUCUUACUUUUACUCUGUCUUUCCUAAUGGAUCUUCCCUACACCUUUUUCUCUCUGCACAGCUUUGAGAUAACCUCUCAGCACCAUCUUCUCCUUCAGUAACUUGCGUUCGUCUGUUUCAGGCUGGAUUUUAUCUCAUUUAUUACUUUAAAAAUUCAUUUAUAUCCAUUAUUGUAAAUUUUCAUUUUUAAAACUUCUCACCCAUUCAUUUUCACAUCUUUUUCUUAUUUCAUUUUUGCCUUUUACUAUAGAUUUUGGCUCAUUUAAUGGGUAUUCUUUCAUUAAUCCACCUAAACAUAGUUAUUGUCUUGCUUCAACAAAGGGGUAUAGGUCAUUUUUUUUUUUUUUUGGUCUCAAUGGCUCCUUAAGUUUGUUUUCUUCUCUAGUAUUAUAUUUCUUUACCUAGUUGGAAUAUUUUUUUCAAAAAUUAUUUAUUUACUUUAAUUGAAGGAUAAUCAGUUUACAAUGUUGUGAUGUUUUUUUGCCAUAUAUAAAUAUGAAUCGGCCAUAGGUAGACAUGUGUCUCCUCUAUCUUGAAACCCCUCCCAACUCCGUCCCCAAGGUUUAUAGCUUCCUUUUGAAAGGAGAUCUUAUUCAUUCUUUGUUAUUCUCUCUCUUUUCUCCUGCUAACGCUCACUCCUGUCUGAGUGGUUAUGUGGUAACCAUCCCCAAAGCCUAAUCUUAGCCUGAACAGAUCCUGUAAGGGUGAUGCUUAUUUCCAGCCCAGUUGUACAAUCAGGGAAAUUAUUAGCCUUAUUCCUAAGCUGGUGGCUGUCUUGCUUAGUUUCUGAUCUUGCAUGUGUAUUACUAUACCUCCUGUAGCAUUUGGGAGGCAGUUCCCUUUCUCAAGUGAUGAGGCUGUGUGUUGCAGGGCAUGUGGGGGGCAGUCUACCCUUUAGCUUUAAAUGUGAGUUUGCUUCUAGCUCUCUGUUGUCCCAGAGGCACUGAACUCCUGGUUACCAUUGCCUUAGUCUGGGUGUGUGACUUCAGAACUGUUGUUUUGGAAUUGCUGUUGUUUCUCAUCCAUGAAGACAUUUACUUGUUUCUGAGCCCAGUGCUGUUUUUGUGUUGUUUUAAGUAGAUCACUGCUGCAUGUUUGACAUUACCAGGGUUGUAUUGUCAAGUGUGAACUUGCUGAGCUAUUUUGAUUGAAAGUUUCUUCCUUCCAUUAAACAGAAGUCACAUGCCAGUGGGAUACUUCUGAACUUCUAGAAGCUGCUGGCGUAUAUUCUCAGGUCAGAGCUUCAGGAAUGUUUGUCUUUACCCUCUCUGAAUAGCAGAGUCCCAUAUGCAUGACUAAGUCAGACCUUGCCUGUCUCUCCAUGCAGGAGACUUUCCAAGGUGAGUUGAUGCCUAUGGAUGCCUCUCAGUGCACUUCACACAUGUAAAAAUCUUCUCUGGUAUAUUUCCCUCUCUUGCUGGAGCACAAAGGGCACAAUUGACACAUGUAGUCUUAGUUUCAGAAGGAAACUCAGAGAUGUCUAAAUCCAGCCUCCCUUCCCCCAUGGGCAUACACAUUAGUGAUUCUUGGAAAGGCAAUUGGAUUUUUCAAAACCCACUGAAUGGUUGCCCAAGGCAAUCUUGAUAGAUCCUAAGAGCAAUAUGACCCUUGCUGACAUCUGCACAGUUAGAAAGUUUUCUUACUAUCAAGUCCAAAUUGACCUCCUUGUAACUGACACCAUAAUGACACAAAUGAUACUUCUGACAUGAUAGCUGUUCAGACGUGGAAAGACAUUCAGUUUUAUGCUCUGAGUUUUCUCUUCUUGGGGCUGCUGCUGCUGCUAAGUCGCUUCAGUCAUGUCCGACUCUGUGCAACCCCAUAGACGGCAGCCCACCAGGCUCCCCCAUCCCUGGGAUUCUCCAGGCAAGAACACUGGAGUGGAUUGCCAUUUCCUUUUCCAAUGCAUGAAAGUGAAAAGCGAAAGUGAAGUCACUGAGUCGUGUCCAACUCUCAGUGACCCCAUGGACUGCAGCCCACCAGGCUCCUCUGUCCAUGGGAUUUUCCAGGCAAGAGUACUAGAGUGGGGUGCCAUUGCCUUCUCCACUUCUCGGGGCUAACUCCUCCUAUUUCCUAUAGCACUCUUGCCUGUAACACAGAUAUCUCAUUAUUCUAUGGCCACCUAUUGAUAAGUGUGUGUUUUCUCGGCCAUUUAUUUGGACUAGAGUUCUUAUGUAAAGGAACUGGCAACUCUAUAAUUUUCAAAAGAUAUAAGAGGAGGGUCUAGUUUGGUUUCUUGGUCCCCAGCUCCCCUCAGCUGUGAAAAGGAUUCAGUUGGCUCUCAUGGUCUAAUUGGAUGCUGUGAUUACAUUUACUUACAGCAUGGGUAAUGUAGCCCAGGCUUCCCCCAGGUCUGUGUCUGAAUCCUAAGUUUCUGCCUUGGGAUGUUAAACAAUACAAGGCAGAUCUGCUAUCCUGCUUUUAUCUCUUGUAGCCUGGGAAUGGUUACUUGCAAACCACUUCUGCAGACAGGGUAAUGGCGUAUUGAUUGCUGAACAGGUGGUAGGGGUGCAGCUUUUAGAUAUAAGUUUUAGAUAUAAUUCCGUUUUCUGCCUUUCGGCUUGUUGCCGGAAGGUGUUUCAUGCAAUAAUCUUAGUGUGGGAUAAUUCUGAUUUCAGUGCUUGCAGUAGUUUUGAGUUUCAUUUCCUCCUCCUCCCCCCUCCUUUUCCUCCUUCUCGUUCUUCUUCUUCUGCCUCUGGAACAGAUUGACAUGGUACAUUGGGGCCAUGUGAGAAUUAGGUAAAGAAAAGCUGGUCUGAAUUGUCAAACUGAGGCUCUGGAAAAAAUAGAUUCUCAUUCAGCUGAACUAAGUGAGCCUGUGUACUGAAUGUUUUAGGGAAAUGAUUUCCAAAGAUUGCUUCAUGGAAUGCUGUAACUUUGUGGAAUGCUCUGGGGAUAAAGGGCUCCAUGAUCGUAUAUUUGAGCAUGAUAUAUAUAUAUAUAUAUAUAUAUAUAUAUAUAAUGUGCCUCCCUCUUGGGGAGAACUUUUCAUCUGAUGAUGUGGCAGACUGUGAGACUUUCAGCAGUAAAGCAGUCUUUUCAACUUGCAUUAAUGUAACAUUGACCAUGCUUAUUUGUUCAUGGAACUGCAUGUAAAGAAAACCAUUCCCAUUAACAUCCUGGAGAACUGGCCUUCUGUUUGACAUACAAUAGGAAGUGCUUUCGCUAAGCAAUGUGGCGUCCUCAUGAAUAUGCUUCUUGCUUUCACUCACAAAUGCACCAGAUCCUAUCAUGUGCCUCUGCUGUCCAAGAGACAUUUUCUUGCCUCUCAUUGGGGAAUUAAUUUGAGAAUUCAUUCCACAGGGAAUAUCACCAACCCCAUAGCAGUGUGGUCCCCGAGUGAGAUGGCACUGAUGUUUGUUUCAGGAGAUGGGGAAGAACAGGAAGGAAAGAUAGCAUCAAGAUUAGGUGAAGUUAAUCAUCAUGCUGUAUUAGAGAGGUUUUGAGUGAAAAUUUAUGAAAAUAGCUAAUGUGGGUCACUAGAAAAGAGCGUAUGAGCCAGAGGAAGGCAGUUCGGCAAAGACAAGGUGAAAGGGAUUCAGGACUAAAAGCAUGUGGACAGCAAAUAUGCUCAUGUCUUGGCUGAUGCAUGAGGGAGAUUGCUGGCAGAGAUGGAGAACUCAGAGGACAAUUAAUGAAGGGCACUCAGUCCAAACUGCAGAGUUUGAAGUAGACAUGAGUGAUGUUAGGGACGCCCAUAAAGAUCUGCAGGGAGGAAAUAGGAUGCAAAUAAUUUUCAUGGACCAAGACCCCUUUGUCCGCUGUCAGAUGUAUUUGAGAUGAUUCCUGGCCUGAGUCCCUUGGGCUGUAAGGAGAUCAAACUGGUCAAUCCUAAAGGAAAUCAACCCUGAUUAUUCACUGGAAGAACUGAUGCUGAAGCUCCAAUACUUUGGCCACCUGAUGUGAAGAGCUGACUUAUGGGAAAAGACUGGGAAAUGCUGAGGCCAGGAGGAAAAGGGGGCAACAGAGGAUGAGAUGAAUAGCAUCACUGACUCAAUGGACAUGAAUUGGAGCAAACUCCGGGAGCCAGUGAAAGAUAGGGAAGCCUGGUGUGCUGCAGUCUGUGGAGUCGCAAAGAGCUGGACAUGACUUGAACAACAACAACCUGGUCUGAGUGGAGGCUGCAGGGGCAUGAAGGGGGUAGUCUGAGAGAGGAACUUGAUGAUUAUGAGAUGUAGAUGGAAGAAUCUGGUUCAGCUUGACUGCUAGGAUUAUGGUGACUGAGAUCCAGGUGUUGCUGAAAGGUACACUUCUACUUGGGUCUCAUAAAAAUUGGUUUCCUCUCCCUCUUAGAAGCAACACUGUAGUUGUCAAUGAAGUUCUUAGCUGGAAACUACCCAACAGCCAUCCAGUCAUUAGGAGAUAAAAACUAUUGAUCAUUAUUUGUCUAUUGCUCAUUGGAACCAGCAGGCCUCCAGCUAAUAUCUUUAUCUACUUCAGGCUGUCAGCCUAUUGACUUUAUUUAUUUAUUUAUUUUUUAAAGAACCCAGUUGAUGGGAGUGUGUGGUGAAGAAGAAAUUAUUUUUAACCAAAUGAUGAGAAAUUUGAUCAUAAACCAUCUGUAGAAGAACAUGGAAAAUUUGUGUUGAUCCUUUCCCUGUCGCGUCAAGUAUCAGGGGUUGGAAGGUCUGUCCUUUCUGUUUCUGUUAUGAUCCUUCACUUGAGAAAAACCUCAAACACAAAGGAAGUAAGAAUAAAGAAGCAAGGUCCAGCAAGUAACCCAAAACUGCCCACAUGAUCUCCCUGACCUUUGUUUACUCAUCUCGGCAAGAAGUUAGCUGGCAUCGGACUUUCAACUUUACUUGCUUGACUCAGGCUGUGUGCUGGGCUCAUUCUAAGCUUCUUCUCCUUGGGUCAUGGAUGGGGGACUCUCUCAGAGCAGUAAACUGGGGCACUUCUGAGUCUCUUCUCAUUUGUAUCUUCUCUUUCAGGGAUCGUCAUCCUUCAUUCUCUGAUGCACUGAGUCCUGAAAACUAUUGCUUCAUAUAUGUUGCUAGUUUUUCUUUGGUUUCAGGUGGGAGGAUAAAGAGUCGGACACAACUUAGUAACCGAACAUAACAGGAGGUAAAUCUGGUUCCUCUUCCUCCAUCUUGGGCAAAGCAGAAAAUUCCACAUUGUCAUUUUAAUGUGGAUUCUGCAGGCUUCGUGUUGGAUUCAAAGUGUAAUCCUUUCAAGAGAGUCUCUGUUGUGGACUGGAGGAAUGAAAACAUCAAGGCUAUGGGACAUAUACUACAUAUUUCUCUUCAUAAAGAUUCAGCCCAUAUACUAGAACCUCACAGAUACUUGUAUGUGAUGGUGGAACCCACUCUCCAGAAAGAGAAGGUGAUUUGCGCAAUGGAGUUUUUGUUAUAUUGUAUUUAGUCUCCAUUCCACUUAUAUCUUUUUGUAAGUGAGACUAAGUGUAGGGCCAUGGAAUCCUCCAUUUUAUACUUAUCAAAUAAAUAAUGCUAUACUAAAGGCAAAGAAAUUGGAGAGAAGAAAGGACAUCCCAUGCUUAAAGAACCACAUAGUCAAUCUUAGACUCUGGAGGGUUCUCAAGAGUAGAAACCUGCCUCAAGGUGAGUAAAAUCUAUAUCUUCUGCACUUUAUAAACUCUGCCAACACUGACUGUUAAGUAACUUAUCCAGGGUCAUGUAAAAAGUAACCCUAGUUCUCUCCCUGUAAUAGACACCUGCGUUUCCAACGAUUCUUUCUGUAGUGUUCCUCUCUUGCUCUUCGCUGACUCUGGGGUGGUUUCCUACCCCUGCCCCCCACCCCCAGCUCCGCUAGUCUCCUCCCUAGCUGGUAGCAUGUCAUCUAAAUCCUUUCAGCAUAUUAUGCCUCUCUGCAUGCUAAGCUGCUUCAGUUGUGUCUGACUCUUUGAUGAGACCCUGUGGACUGUAGCCCCUUGGGCUCCUCUGUCCAUGAGAUUCUCCAGGCAAGAAUACUGAAUACUGGAGUGGGUUGCCAUGCCCUCCUUCAGGGGAUCGAACCCACAUCUCCUGUGACUCCUGCAGUGCAGGCAGAUUCCUUACCACUGAGCCGUUGGGGAAGCCUCUCUAGAUGGAGGCAAAACAUACUUCCCUCUGACGCUUCUCUUGGGAAGCUUUAAUGCUACACAAUUAACAGUUUCCCUGUCCCUUUUCUGUCCCCUUGUGGUCCUGGCCUCUGACGGUGGAUGGAUGGCUGUAUCAUCACACUCCCUCCACGUCAUUUGUCACAUCCUGGCACCGUGACAACAGCUUCUCUGUUUCUAGAAGGCCUGCAGCUAGAAUGUCAGGCAGGGAAACUAAAUAACUUUUCACCCUUAGGACGUACUUCCUUCUUCAGAGGCUGCAGGCCACUGAGAGCUGGUGUGAGGCCAUUGAGCUGCUGAAGCAUGGCGCAUUUCUACUAGUCUGGAAACUGACUGUGAAGACUUUAUUCUGACUGUGCCAGGUCCUAGAAAAUUGCUUUGAAAAAAUGACCAGGAAGCCUUGUGGACAAUGGGAUCUUUCUUCUUUUCUAAAGCAAUGAGCUACAGUGCUCUGGCAUCUUUCAGAGAGGUGGUGUCUGCUAAUAGGGAAUUAUGUCUAACCAAGAGCAACUAUAAUUAACAGGGCAAAGAAAAUAAAUAUUGAGGAUAAAAAUAACAAUAUUAAGAGCAAACUUUUUUUUAUAGGGGUCACUGUAAGUCAGGGAUGUUCUAAGUUCUUUAGAUAUAUUAACUUCUUGAACAAUCUUUUGAAAUAUAUAUUAUUAUUAUCCCUGUGGUACUGCUGGGGGUUUCCCAGGUGGUGCUAGUGGAAAAGAACCCACCUGCCAAUGAAGGAUGUGUAAGAGACAUGGGUUCAAUCCCUGAGUAGGGAAGAUCCCCUGGAGAAGGGCAUGGCAACCCACUCCAGUAUUCUUGUCUGGAGAAUCCCAUGGACAGAGGAACCUGAAGGGCUGUUGUCCAUAGGGUUGCAAAGAGUCAGACAUGACUAAGCAACUUAGCACAUGCAUACAUGGUACUGGUGAGAGAAGUUAAGUAACUUACUGCAAAUCACUGAGAGAGCCAGUUGUGGAGCUUGGAGUUAAACCCUAAUAUUCUGACUCAAGUCUGUGCUCUGAAUCUCAUUGAUCUUCAGCCUCUGAUUGUGAAAUUCCUCUUCUUCAUCAAAUCACAACGUGGAGAGACAUGAGACGAGCCGAGUGUGGAGAUCAGCACACAAUAAAGAGGAGAAAUACCUUUGUCCCCAGAAUGAAGUGGAUGCUCAGUAGGUGGUACAGAUUUGAUCCGAUGGAAAUUUCUGUGGACUUCUCGCUCAGUCUCCUUUGAUUUACAUUCAUUACAUAACCAAUUCUGAGAGCUGGUGAAACUGUGAGCAGAAGUAAUAUGGACCAAGGCGGUUAAAUAAUCGUGUGAUUUCCUAUGCUCCCUUUCCACCAUCUGCUAGCUUGUGGACAAACUUGAAGGGCAAUCUGAAACUCAUGAUAAGUGAGAAGCAAAAGGGAUGAGCAACCUGGGGCCCUGAAUCACUAUGUGGAAGAGAGGAGAGUGGGUCAAAAGCACCACCAAUCUCCACAGAACUUGAAGUGGGUUAGAGAUAAACUUAUACUGUGUGGUUAAGUUGUUGAGAUUUCAGGGAUCAUUUGUUACUGCAGCAAAAAUGAACCUCCCCUGAUCAAUACAUAGGCUUGCCUGUCUCAGCUUGCCCUGUGGCCUUUUCUGCUCACUGGCUCUUUCCCUUGGGAAAAAAAAGACUGUUCAGGUUUUGAGAGAUGUUGUCUGAGCAGAUGGAAGGAUCCAUUUCUGCUGGGUGAAGUACAGUCUUUUUCCAGCCUCAGUAUCCCCCUCCAUAGGAGACAAACAUACAAGGAUAGGUGAGGGAAAGAAUGUUAGUUUUUUACUGUAGAAGUUAAGGGAGGGAUAUUGUGUUUUCUCUAAGGUUCUUGAACCUCUCUAAGUCUGUGGUUUAUAGUCACGUAUGGAGAUGUUACACAAAACUUUUUUGGUUGCUUGAAAUUUCAGCUGAUGCCCAAAGUCUGAGAAAAAUAUCUGCCAAGUGCACUCAUAUUUUAAACUGGUAGCCUAGCCCAUAUGUAAAGUACUUUAAAAGGAAUUGACCCCAUACUUCACUGUCAGCAUUACCUCAUCAGCCUCCUCCAGGGUAUAAAGGUGGAAGGUAGGAGGCGAGGAUUAAGGAUCCCUCUGGGGAAAGUUGUCAACAGGUGGUGAUGGGUUCCUCCCACACCCCAAGUCAGAAAGAGAAGUGCAAUCUCUCUCUCUCAUCAAGGGGGCUGCUCAGAAGCCUUACUUGUGUUCUCAGGCUUUUAGUGGACACAGAGGCUGGACUUUGUUGGUCAGCUUGCAGCAGAGAGGGAAGAAGCAGAACUGCCCUGGGAAUAGCCUGGCCUUCUGGGCUGUAGCCAGGCUUGUAGAGUGGAGGAUGCUCUGAGGAAGAUAGUGGCUCAGGGUCCAGCUGCCCAUGAGACCCUCUGGAGAGAUGAGGGGUUGAGUGGGGGACUGCAAGGUGCCAGGGACUGAGGGAGGGCUGUGGGCCAUAGGAAGCAUUGUUUUGGCAAGAAAUGCAAGAUGGGGGUUCUUAUAAAAGCGCCCCAUAAAGAAAAUAAUUAAUGUUGGAUGACAUUCCCUGGGUUCCAAGAGCACUAAUGCUGGAUUUUUUCUGCACCAUUCUGGAGGGCUCUCCCCACUCAGCCCUGGGAAGCCACAAGUCAGAGCUUACGGAGUGACGAGGAGGGAGCAGAAGAACAGAACACAGGCUCUGCUUCAAGAUCUCCUGGAGAAGAUGAUGGCACCCCACUCCAGUACUCUUGUCUGGAAAAUCCCAUGGACGGAGGAGCCUGGUAGGCUGCAGUCCAUGGGGUUGCUAAGAGUAAAGACACAGUUGAGUGACUUCACUCUCUUUCUUUCUGCUUCUUCCCUCAGGCCUCCAUGACUGUGAUGGGCCUGACCACUGAAAUCAUAAAUUAAAGGAGAUUUUUACAGUUUUAAUAUUAUACAACCCUGGACUUAUAUUUAUUUAUUGGAGUCUGGGCUUCUCCAGUGACUCAGCUGUUAAGAAUGCACCUGCAGUACACGAGAUGCAGGACACGUGGGUUCAAUCCCUGGGUCAGGAAGAUCCUCUGGAGGAGGAAAUGGCAACCCACCCCAGUAUUCUUGCCUGGGAAAUUCCACGGACAGAGGAGCCUGGUGGGCUACAGUCCAUGGGGUCUCAAAGAGUCGGACAGGACUGAGCAACUAAGCACUAACAAUGAUAAUUGCUUUACAAUCUUGUGUUAGUUUCUGCUGUACGUCAGUGUGAAUCACUCAUAUGUAUACACAUUUCCCCUUGGGCCUCCCUCCUGUCCACCCCUUCCCCAUCCCACCCGUUUAGGUCAUCAUAGAGGACUGAGCUGAGCUCCCUAGCACUGGGAGCUUUCUAAUGUGAUUUUUAUUUGAAAGUUAACAAAAAACAUUAUGAAACUGUUGGAUAUUAAUUUAGGAGCAGGGAGUCAUGAUCCCAUAGCACAGGUUGAAAAGUGACCAAAAAAUUCAAUUCUUGUGGCUUGGGACCUAUUGAGUCUGGUUCAUUCAGUGAAUCAAUCACACGUGUAUAUUGUCUCACUUCCGAAAAUAUAUCCAUCCAUCAAAUUAUCAAUUUGAUACCUACCUGUCUAUCACCUGGUUGAGUGCAUGUGAUUGGUAUAUAACCUAUUUGUACUCAGACAUUAUUUAUGUGCUAUUUCCUUUGUGUGUGUCUGUGUGUCAGUUGCUCAGUUGUGUCUGACUCUUUGUGGCCCCAUGGACUGUAGCCCACCAGGCUUCUCUGUUCAUGGAAUUUUCCAGGCAAGAAUAGUGGGGUGGUUUGCCAUUGCCUACUCCAGGGGAUCUUCCCAACCCAGGGAUCGAACCCACACCUCCUGCAUCUCCUGCAGUGGCAGGCAGAUUCUUUCUUUACCACUGUACCAUCUGGGAAGCGCUGCUAUUUCCUGUGCAGAGCCUCACACGUGGGCACCGCCUUCUGGGGACUAGUUCCUUGGAGCGUCUGGUGUUUUCUGCUGCUGCUCUCAGAUUUGGAGACUCUAGCCCCCAAGAUCCAGGGGACACCCUUGUGAUGUCUCUGGAUGUCUGGAGAAGGAGAGCAUGGUGUACACAGACAGUCAGAAUUGUUCAGCGGUUGCUCCUGUACUUUUAGGACCCUUCCUGACCCUCAUCACCACUCUCUCCCACUCAGGACCCUACUGUCUCUGUGCAGCAAGGUCGCCUCUCCACGACUCCUCUCCUACAUUUUGCAUUUACAUAUUUCUAAGACCUUUCUCAAGUUUGUCACUGCCCUUAGUAUCCUCUCUUCUCCAUCGUCCAGGACUUGACCUUCUUCCAAGUCAUAUCAGAUCCUGUCUUUCUGAACUCCCCACUCCUAGCAAGUCUUUCCCACCGUCUUGUAUGAGAGUUAAUUCUGUCCUUAGUCUUACUGUGCGUGGUUUAUGUCUCUGUGGUCAUAGUUCCUAGAGCAUGUCAUUAAUGAUAGUUUUGUCUCUCUUACUUAUCUAUGAGUUCUCAGAGACAUGGCUCCCCUCAUUUCUAUAUCUUUGCUAGAACCAUAUGGGUGCUCACUAAAUAUCUGUUAAGUGGAAUUAAAUUGCAGAUGUUCACUUGUGAGGGAAUUGUAAAUAAAGAAUGUGUGAUCUAGCAAGUCAAAAAUGUAUUUUAAAGAAAGGUUGAGCUUAGGCCCUAGCAGAUGUUAAAUUCUACUGAAAUAUUUAGUGACCAGUGUGGAUCCAUAGAAAAUCCAAGUGUUCAUUUCUCUUAAUUCACCACUAAGACUGUGUGAACCUAGAGGGGUAGGUGUGUGCAUCCUGAUUAGAAAAGAAUGGGAAAGUUGGUGAUCUGGUUAAUAUCCUCCGUAACCACUCUUUUGCCACGUGAAGAAAAAAAUGAACUGAUUGGAGGACAUGAACAGAUUAGAGGCCCAGGUGAGGAAAGUGGGCCUGGUGUUAUAUAACCCUAGGUCAAAGAGGGCCCCUAAUAUUAUUCCCUGGUGGCUCAGAUGGUAAAGAAUCUGCCUGCAAUGUGGGAGACCUGGGUUUGAUCCCUGGGUUGGGAAGAUCCCCUGGAGAAGGGCAUGACAGCCAGUAUUCUUGCCUGGAGGAUCCCCAUGGACAGAAGAACCUGGUAGGCUACAGUCCAUGGGGUCACAAAGAGUCAGACACCUCUGGGCAACUAAGCAUACAUACAUACAAUAUUAUUUCAAAGGAGAGAGUCAUGAAUUCUCCCAAGUCCUGGGGCUGUGAGAACUCAAACACACAAAUAUGGUAGCUCAGUAAUGAGUCAGGGAAUGGCUUUGAGCAAAGCAGUAUUUCGAGUGACCUACUUAUCAAGGGGGGCUUCCCUGGUGGUUCAGUGGUAAAGAAUCCACCUACAAUGCAGGAGACAUGGGGUCUGGAAGAUCCCCUGGAGGAGGGCAUGGCAACCCACUCUAUGGCAACCCACUCUAGUGUUCUUACCUGGAAAAUCCCAUCAACAGAGGAGCCUGGCAGGCUAAGGUCUGUGGGGUCACAAAGAUUUGGACAUGACUGAAGCCACUGAGCACACACACUUGUAAAGGAGCCUGGUGAGCAAGAGUCCAUGGGGUUGCAGAGAGUUGGACAUGACUGCACAGUUGCUCAGUCAUGUCCGACUCUUUAUGACUGCAUGGACUGUAGCCCGCCAGGCUCUGCUGUCCAUGGAAUUGUCUAGGCAAGAAUCCUGGAGCAGGUUGCCAUUUCCUAGUCCAGAGGAUCUUCCCCACCCAGAGAUCGAACCUGCUUACCUUGUCUCCUGUAUCAGCAGGCAGAUUCUUUACCACUAUCGCCACCUGGGAAGCCCUAUCAAGGACAGUAUUUCCCCUUUACUUCCCUGGUGGCUCAGGCGGUAAAGCGUCUGUCUACAAUGAGGGAGACCUGGGUUCAAUCCCUGGGUCGGGAAGAUUCCCCUGGAGAAGGAAAUGGCAAUCCAUUCCAGUACUAUUGCCUGGAAAAUCCCAUGGACAGAGGAGCCUGGUAGGCUACAGUCCAUGGGGUCGCAAAGAGUCGGACACGACUGAGCAACUUCGCUCAGAGAGUAGGCAGCCUAAGCGAAUCUCCCAUUAAAUAUGAAAGGGGUAAUAGGUACAAAGACAACAGCAUCCAUAGCUGCUUUUGUACCCAGUUGUGCUUGGCACCAUGCUUGGGGGUGGGUAGGGCUUUGAAGGCAGAGUAGCUGGCAAUCUGCCAGGGUACAUGGCUUUAGCUUUAACAGGGUCAGGCUCUGCUGUUUUGCUUGCUAGCUGCUCCUGAUCAUUUUUUCUCUUCUGCCUUUUAUUUUUCCCCCAGACCUUUUGGUACCCAAUGAUUUUUGAUUAAUUUAUUUACCAUCGUUGGGUGAUUGAUGCUGUUUGGUGCUGGUACUUUGUAACUUUCCAAUUCUUCUAGUUGUCAAUGUGACAGCCCCCUGAUGAUUAAUUAGACCUGUCCCUUGCUCUUUUCAUUCUCCCUGUGCGCCAAGGCUCCUGGUUUUCAGCAAAUAUAAAUAUUUCUAAAUGCAGAUUUAAUGAUUGAGAACACCCAACAAAAUCCAGAAAGAUCUAUGACACUUUCACUCUCCUUUACUUUCCCACCGAAAUGUAAUGCAUUGUGCUUUUUCUCUCCCUGCUUUACUUCAGAUUUUGAGAAUCCACUUGGCUUUUGGAAUCUCCUAAGCUAUGGUUUUUCCAGUGGUCAUGUAUGGAUGUGAGAGUUGUACUGUGAAGAACGCUGAGCGCCAAAGAAUUGAUGCUUUUGAAUUGUGGUGCUGGAGAAGACUCUUGUGAGUCCCUUGGACUGCAAGGAGAUCCAACCAGUCCAUUUUAAAGGAUAUCAGCCCUGGGUGUUCUUUGGAAGGAAUGAUGCUAAAGCUGAAACUCCAGUACUUUGGCUAGCUUAUGUGAAGACUAGACUCAUUGGAAAAGACUCUGAUGCUGGGAGGGAUUGAGGGCAGGAGGAGAAGGGGACAACAGAGGAUGAGAUGGCUGGAUGGCAUCACUGACUCGAUGGACAUGAGUUUGGGUGAACUCCGGGAGUUGGUGAUGGACAGGGAGGCCUGGCAUGCAUGGGGUUGCAAAGAGUCGGACACGACUGAGCGACUGAACUGAAACGGACUGAAGCUGUUUUCCUGUUCUUCUGGCAUCUCCAUCUAUGUAUGGUUCCAGUCUCACUUUUUCAUCUUUUGUUGUCUGCUUGGUUUAUGUGAACUCGAUUUCCUCUACAUAAUGUGUAAGUUUGGGAUGGUAGUGAGAAGAGGAAUUGGUGUUUAUUAUGUCCUUUUUAUUUUUUUUGUACAAUGAUAGGUGCUUUUCUUAUAAAACAUUUGUCAAGCACUUACUAUGUGCCAGAAACCCCUCCUAGGACAUCCAUGCAAGGUAGUCAUCUUUAUCUCUAUUUUACAGACGAGAAGUUGAGGCUUUGGGAGAAUAAUGAAUAUGUGUUAAGUCAUACAGCUAGGAAAUGGCAGAACAGGGAUUUGAAGCCAACCUUUCUGACUGUGUCAACCUGUGUGAUUUUCCGUGACAUUAUCCUGAAGGAGAUCAAGGAUGGAUGAAGGAACUCCUAGAGCCUCAGAAUCCAGAUGGGAUCAUAAACUUUCUACAGGUGGUUCUCAAAACUUAGAUAAUUAGAUCCAUGCUUGAUGAACUACCUAAAAGUCACUUUGGAUGCUUAUUUAAAUUCCUGGUGCUUCCCACAGUUGUUAAAGAUGUCUGGAUGGGCCUAAAGCUGUGUUUAAACACUUUAAACAUUUAAACUUUAAACAUUUUAAACACUGACUCAGUCAGUUCAGUUCAGUUGCUCAAUAAUGUCAGACUGUUUGUGACCCCAUGGACUGCAGCAGGCCAGGCUUCCCUGUCCAUCA